CUUGAAGAUCGGAGUGCUUGCACUCUGUGAAACAAGAUACAGGCUAGCGGCGGACGGGUGAGUAACACGUGGGUAACCUGCCCAAGAGAUCGGGAUAACACCUGGAAACAGAUGCUAAUACCGGAUAACAACAGAUGAUGCCUAUCAACUGUUUAAAAGAUGGCUCUGCUAUCACUCUUGGAUGGACCUGCGGUGCAUUAGCUAGUUGGUAGGGUAACGGCCUACCAAGGCGAUGAUGCAUAGCCGAGUUGAGAGACUGAUCGGCCACAUUGGGACUGAGACACGGCCCAAACUCCUACGGGAGGCAGCAGUAGGGAAUCUUCCACAAUGGACGCAAGUCUGAUGGAGCAACGCCGCGUGAGUGAAGAAGGGUUUCGGCUCGUAAAGCUCUGUUGUUGGUGAAGAAGGACAGGGGUAGUAACUGACCUUUGUUUGACGGUAAUCAAUUAGAAAGUCACGGCUAACUACGUGCCAGCAGCCGCGGUAAUACGUAGGUGGCAAGCGUUGUCCGGAUUUAUUGGGCGUAAAGCGAGUGCAGGCGGCUCGAUAAGUCUGAUGUGAAAGCCUUCGGCUCAACCGGAGAAUUGCAUCAGAAACUGUCGAGCUUGAGUACAGAAGAGGAGAGUGGAACUCCAUGUGUAGCGGUGAAAUGCGUAGAUAUGUGGAAGAACACCGGUGGCGAANGCGGCUCUCUGGUCUGUUACUGAC
rnacentral:rRNA from 1 species